rnacentral:rRNA from 1 species
AACGAUUGGGAGCUUUGCUCCCUCGAUUCAGGCUGGCGGACGGGUGGAGUAAUGCCUAUGGAGAUCUGCCUGGUAGUGGGGGACAACGUUUCGAAAGGAACGCUAGUACCGCAUACGUCCUACGGGAGAAAGCAGGGGACCUUCGGGCCUUGCGCUAUCAGAUGAGCCUAGGUCGGAUUACCUAGUAGGUGAGGUAAUGGCUCACCUAAGCGACGACCCGUAACUGGUCUGAGAGGAUGAUCAUUCACACUGGAACUGAGACACGGUCCAAACUCCUACGGGAGGCACCAGUGGGGAAUAUUGGACAAUGGGCGAAAGCCUGAUCCAGCCAUGCCGCGUGUGUGAAGAAGGUCUUCAGAUUGUAAAGCCCUUUACUUAGGAAUGAGUAGCAGUAAGUUAAUACCUUGCUGUUUUGACAUUACCAACAUAGUAAGCACCGGCUAAAUUCGUGCCGGCAACCGCGGUAAUACGAGGGGUGCAAGCGUUAAUCGGAAUUACUGGGCCUAAACCCCGCGUAGGUGGUUCAGCCAGUUGGAGGUGAAAUCCCCGGGCUCAACCUGGGAACUGCCUCCAAAACUGCUGAGCUAAAAUAUGGUAAAGGGUACUGGAAUUUCCUGUGUAGCGGUGAAAUGCGUAGAUAUAUGAAGGACCACCAUUGGCGAAGGCAACUACCUGGACUGAUACUGACACUGAGGUGCGAAACCGUGGGGAGCAAACGGGAUUAGAUACCCUGGUAGUCCACGCCGUAAACGAUGUCUACUAGCCGUUGGGAUCCUUGAGAUCUUAGUGGCGCAGCUAACACAUUAUGUCGACCGCCUGGGGAGUACGGCCGCGAGGUUGAAACUCACAUGAGUUGACGGGGGCCCGCACAAGCGGUGGACCAUGUGGUUUAACUCUAAGCAACUCGAAGACCUUACCUGACCUUGACAUGCUGAGAACUUUCCUAACAUGGAUUGGUGCCUUCAGGAACUCGAACACGGUGCUGCAUGGCUGUCCUCACCUCUUUUUUUGAAAUUUGGGUUUAGUCCCCUUACAAACC